UCCCUGAGACUAUAGCUGUG
rnacentral:miRNA from 1 species